AUUUUCCGGUUGAUCCUGCCGGACCCCACUGCUAUCGGGAUAGGACUAAGACAUGCUAGUCGUGUGCCUCAGCCAAAACGAGGCACGGCGCACAGCUCAGUAACACGUGGCUAACCUGCCCUUAGGACGAGAAUAACCCCGGGAAACUGGGGCUAAUGCUCGAUAGGUGAAGAACUCUGGAAUGAGUCUUCACUUAAAAGAGUCUGCGUUAUGCUCGUAGAUUUCGCUUAAGGAUGGGGCCGCGACCGAUCAGGUUGUUGGUGAGGUAAUGGCUCACCAAGCCUUUUACCGGUGCGGGCCGUGAGAGCGGGAGCCCGGAGAUGGGCACUGAGACAAGGGCCCAGGCCCUACGGGGCGCAGCAGUCGCGAAAACUUUGCAAUACACGAAAGUGUGACAGGGCUAUCCCGAGUGCCAUCCGCUGAGGAAGGCUUUUACCCAGUCUAGAACGCUGGGGGAAUAAGGAGAGGGCAAGUCUGGUGUCAGCCGCCGCGGUAAUACCAGCUCUCCGAGUGGUGUGGAUGUUUAUUGGGCCUAAAGCAUCCGUAGCUGGCUAAGUUAGUCCCCUGUUAAAUCCAACGAAUUAAUCGUUGGAUCGCGGGGGAUACUGCUUGGCUAGGGGACGAGAGAGGCAGACGGUAUUUCCGGGGUAGGGGUGAAAUCCUAUAAUCCCGGGAAGACCACCAGUGGCGAAGGCUGUCUGCUAGAACGCGCCCGACGGUGAGGGAUGAAAGCUGGGGGAGCGAACCGGAUUAGAUACCCGGGUAGUCCCAGCUGUAAACGAUGCAGGCUAGGUGUUUGGACGGCCACGUGCCGUUCUAGUGCCGCAGGGAAGCUGUUAAGCCUGCCGCCUGGGGAGUACGAUCGCAAGAUUGAAACUUAAAGGAAUUGGCGGGGGAGCACCACAAGGGGUGAAGCUUGCGGUUUAAUUGGAUUCAACGCCGGAAAU
rnacentral:rRNA from 1 species